rnacentral:rRNA from 1 species
UUACGGGAGGCAGCAGUGGGGAAUAUUGCACAAUGGAGGAAACUCUGAUGCAGCGACGCCGCGUGAGUGAUGAAGGACUUCGGUUCGUAAAGCUCUGUUGCAGGGGAAAAAGAAAGUGAUUGUACUCUGCGAGGAAGGAUCGGCUAACUUCGUGCCAGCAGCCGCGGUAAGACGAGGGAUCCUAGCGUUGUUCGGAAUCAUUGGGCGUAAAGCGGAUGUAGGUGGCUUUGUAAGUCAGGUGUGAAAGCCCCGGGCUCAACCCGGGAAGUGCAUUUGAUACUGCGAAGCUUGAGUGCCGGAGAGGUUAUUAGAAUAACUGGUGUAGUGGUGAAAUACGUAGAUAUCAGGUGGAACACCGGAGGCGAAGGCGGGUAACUGGCCGGACACUGACACUCAAAUCCGAAAGCGUGGGGAUCAAACAGGAUUAGAUACCCGGGUA